GAUGAACGCUGGCGGCGUGCCUAAUACAUGCAAGUCGAGCGAACGGACGAGAAGCUUGCUUCUCUGAUGUUAGCGGCGGACGGGUGAGUAACACGUGGAUAACCUACCUAUAAGACUGGGAUAACUUCGGGAAACCGUAGCUAAUACCGGAUAAUAUUUUGAACCGCAUGGUUCAAAAGUGAAAGACGGUCUUGCUGUCACUUAUAGAUGGAUCCUCGCUGCAUUAGCUAGUUGGUAAGGUAACGGCUUACCAAGGCAACGAUGCAUAGCCGACCUGAGAGGGUGAUCGGCCACACUGGAACUGAGACACGGUCCAGACUCCUACGGGAGGCAGCAGUAGGGAAUCUUCCGCAAUGGGCGAAAGCCUGACGGAGCAACGCCGCGUGAGUGAUGAAGGUCUUCGGAUCGUAAAACUCUGUUAGUAGGGAAGAACAUAUGUGUAAGUAACUGUGCACAUCUUGACGGUACCUAAUCAGAAAGCCACGGCUAACUACGUG
rnacentral:rRNA from 1 species